rnacentral:lncRNA from 12 species
GUCUACUUUGCCUGUAGUGCUGAGCUAUUGUGAUAGUUUGAUUUUUAUGAUUUGCAUCAAGCAUGAAGCUUUCAAAGCCGUAUGUCAAAGACACUCGAGCCAGUGAAGGCAGUGGGCGUGCAGGCAGCUGCGGCAGCCCGGAGAUCCCACCUUUCUCCCGCUCUCCUCUGUACACUGCCGUUAACACGCUGGCAGUGCUGGCGAUCCGGCUGCAGCUGCUGCUGCUACUGCUGGUCAAGUAA